AGAUGCUUGGAGCUGUGAAGUUAUCCUGCAGCCCUUUGACUUUUGUCCUCACUUUCUUUCAGAUGCAGAGGAUAAAAUCCAGGGGGAAAUCCAUCGACCUCCUCCUAGGUGAGGAGGUCCCCCCGAGCAGGAAGUAAAUCUGGAUACCAGCAGUCAAGGCAAUCCACUCGGAGUAUGCCAAGCCGCCGUCACCAACCGGCCGACGCGCCGAGUUUCCUGCUCUCGUGAGCCCCGUGGAUGUAUUACAGGACCUGGUGAUGAAGCCCUGAACUUUUCUAUUUAAAGGUGCCAUCCAGGUGGCCUUUGGCAACUGCCAAGGAGUCGGGGCACCCCCUGUGACGAAGGCCUCGGUCUCGAAGCGUGUGAGCCCAGGCAGCUGGGCAUUCCUAGGAGCAUGCUGUCUAAGAGACCAGAGCCCGGUGACAGCAGGACCUUCCCGGCUGACGAGGUGGCCUUUCUUCGUACCUGAGACCGGCAUCCCCAGAUGUCUGAGAGAUAAGUAGAGGGCUACGGCCCACAGAGGGGAUUAAAGCAGGGUGCUGGUUUGGGAAUUACCGGGAGGGGUUUUUGAGUCCGCUUUGG